rnacentral:rRNA from 1 species
CGGGGUGCAGCAGGCGCGAAAACUUUACAAUGCUGGCAACAGCGAUAAGGGGACCUCGAGUGCCAGGAUACAAUCUUGGCUGUCGCGAUGCCUAAAAAGCAUUGCAUAGCAAGGGCCGGGCAAGACCGGUGCCAGCCGCCGCGGUAACACCGGCGGCUCGAGUGGUAACCGCUAUUAUUGGGUCUAAAGGGUCUGUAGCCGGCCGGAUAAGUUUUUUGGGAAAUCCAGCUGCUCAACAGUUGGGCUUUCAGAAGAUACUGUUCGGCUCGAGACCGGGAGAGGUGAGAGGUACUUCAGGGGUAGGGGUGAAAUCUUGUAAUCCUUGAAGGACCACCAGUGGCGAAGGCGUCUCACCAGAACGGAUCUGACGGCAAGGGACGAAAGCUAGGGGCACGAACCGGAUUAGAUACCCGGGUAGUCCUAGCCGUAAACGAUACUCGCUAGGUGUCAGCCACGGUGCGACCGUGGUUGGUGCCGUAGGGAAGCCGUGAAGCGAGCCACCUGGGAAGUACGGCCGCAAGGCUGAAACUUAAAGGAAUUGGCGGGGGAGCACAAGGGCGAUUCGCG